CCUACGGGAGGCAGCAGUGGGGAAUUUUGGACAAUGGGCGCAAGCCUGAUCCAGCCAUGCCGCGUGUGGGAAGAAGGCCUUCGGGUUGUAAACCACUUUUGUCAGGGAAGAAACGGUCUGAACUAAUACUUUGGACUAAUGACGGUACCUGAAGAAUAAGCACCGGCUAACUACGUGCCAGCAGCCGCGGUAAUACGUAGGGUGCAAGCGUUAAUCGGAAUUACUGGGCGUAAAGCGUGCGCAGGCGGCUUUGCAAGACAGAUGUGAAAUCCCCGGGCUCAACCUGGGAACUGCAUUUGUGACUGCAUGGCUAGAGUACGGUAGAGGGGGAUGGAAUUCCGCGUGUAGCAGUGAAAUGCGUAGAUAUGCGGAGGAACACCGAUGGCGAAGGCAAUCCCCUGGACCUGUACUGACGCUCAUGCACGAAAGCGUGGGGAGCAAACAGGAUUAGAUACCCUGGUAGUCCACGCCCUAAACGAUGUCAACUGGUUGUUGGGAGGGUUUCUUCUCAGUAACGAAGCUAACGCGUGAAGUUGACCGCCUGGGGAGUACGGCCGCAAGGUUGAAACUCAAAUGAAAUUGACGG
rnacentral:rRNA from 1 species